AACGAACGCUGGCGGCAUGCCUAACACAUGCAAGUCGAACGAAGGCUUCGGCCUUAGUGGCGCACGGGUGCGUAACGCGUGGGAAUCUGCCCUUUGGUUCGGAAUAACAGCUGGAAACGGCUGCUAAUACCGGAUGAUGACGAAAGUCCAAAGAUUUAUCGCCAGAGGAUGAGCCCGCGUUGGAUUAGGUAGUUGGUGGGGUAAAGGCCUACCAAGCCGACGAUCCAUAGCUGGUCUGAGAGGAUGAUCAGCCACACUGGGACUGAGACACGGCCCAGACUCCUACGGGGGGAACCGGGGGGGAAUUUUGGAAAUGGGGCGCAAGCCUGUCCCAGAAUUCCCCGGGGAGGUAGGAGGGCCCGAGGGUUGUAAAGCCUUUUUCCCCGGGAAGAUAAUGGCUGUACGGGGAGAAAAAGCCCCGGCUAACUCCGU
rnacentral:rRNA from 1 species